CUUCAAUCACUGUAUUCUGAAAUUGACUACUGCAAGGUCAUGGUUGUCUUACAAUAAUGUGGAGUGCUGCAAAAAAUAUGUCUUUGCUGGCUGGCACUUUGAAUUUGUCCCCAAGGUGUGGUUCUUAUGUGCUAGGCGCCCUAAAUUAUCGGUGAAGUAAGAAGCUUGUCCAGACAUAUUUGUGUCUUUCCAAAUCAGUUGAAAAUGAGUGACAUUAUUGUCCAACCAUACAACUUCCUUUUGAAUCGGAAGCGUCUCGAACUAUAUGCUGACUGUGUGGUUGUUCUUGACAAUACAACUCCUAAUAGAAUGGUCCUCCGACGUUAGUUUAAAUCAUACUUUGGACAAAAAAACUCUUUGGUCUCCACUAUUAUAUCUGCAAGCACAACCACGUUGAGGUAUCCUGGAUAUAUG